rnacentral:rRNA from 1 species
GACGAACGCUGGCGGCGUGCCUAAUACAUGCAAGUAGAACGCUGAAGGAGGAGCUUGCUUCUCUGGAUGAGUUGCGAACGGGUGAGUAACGCGUAGGUAACCUGCCUUGUAGUGGGGGAUAACUAUUGGAAACGAUAGCUAAUACCGCAUAAUAGCAGUUGUUGCAUGAUAACUGUUUGAAAGUUGCAAUUGCACCGCUACCAGAUGGACCUGCGUUGUAUUAGCUAGUUGGUGGGGUAACGGCUCACCAAGGCGACGAUACAUAGCCGACCGGAGAGGGGGAUCGGCCACACUGGGACUGAGACACGGCCCAGAGUCCUACGGGAGGCAGCAGGAGGGAAUCUUCGGCAAUGGACGGAAGUCUGACCGAGCAACGCCGCGGGAGGGAAGAAGGUUGUCGGAUCGUAAAGCUCUGUUGUAAGAGAAGAACGAGUGUGAGAGUGGAAAGUUCACACUGUGACGGUAUCUUACCAGAAAGGGACGGCUAACUACGUG